rnacentral:tRNA from 1 species
CGGGCGUGUGGGCCGGCUUGGCCUGGCCCUUGUACGUGGCGUUGGGCGUGAGCACGGCGCGCUCGCCCGGC